rnacentral:rRNA from 1 species
AACGAACGCUGGCGGCAUGCCUAACACAUGCAAGUCGAACGAAACCUUCGGGUCUAUUGGCGCACGGGGGCGUAACGCGGGGGAAGCUGCCCUUAGGUUCGGAAUAACUCCCUGAAAGGGGUGCUAAUACCGGAUAAUGUCUUCGGACCAAGGAUUUAUCGCCUUUUGAUGGGGCCGGGUUGGUUUAGCUGGUUGGGAGGGUAAAAGCCUACUAAGGCGACGAUCCGUCGCUGGUGUGAGAGGAUGCUCAGCCAGACUGGGAUUGGGACACGGCCCAGACUCGUACGGGAGGCGGCAGAGAGGAAAAUAGGACAAGGGGCGAAAGGCAGAUCCAGCGAGGCCGGGUGAGUGGUGAUGGGGUUAGGAUUGUAAAGCUCUUUUACCCGAGAUGAUAAUAACAGAACCGGGAGAAUAAGCCCCGCCUAACUCCGG